rnacentral:rRNA from 1 species
UACGGAGGGAGCUAGCGUUAUUCGGAAUUACUGGGCGUAAAGCGCACGUAGGCGGCUUUGUAAGUAAGAGGUGAAAGCCUGGAGCUCAACUCCAGAAUAGCCUUUUAGACUGCAUCGCUUGAAUCAUGGAGAGGUGAGUGGAAUUCCGAGUGUAGAGGUGAAAUUCGUAGAUAUUCGGAAGAACACCAGUGGCGAAGGCGGCUCACUGGACUGGUAUUGACGCUGAGGUACGAAAGCGUGGGGAGCAAACAGG